AUUGAACGCUGGCGGCGUGCUUAACACAUGCAAGUCGAUCGGUAACAGGUGUAGCAAUACAUGCUGACGAGAGGCGGACGGGUGAGUAAUGCUUGGGAAUCUGCCUAUUAGUGGGGGACAACCCGGGGAAACUCGGGCUAAUACCGCAUACGCUCUACGGAGGAAAGCCGGGGACCGCAAGGCCUGGCGCUAAUAGAUGAGCCCAAGUCGGAUUAGCUAGUUGGUAGGGUAACGGCCUACCAAGGCGACAAUCCGUAGCUGGUCUGAGAGGACGACCAGCCACACCGGAACUGAGACACGGUCCGGACUCCUACGGGAGGCAGCAGUGGGGAAUAUUGGACAAUGGGGGCAACCCUGAUCCAGCGACGCCGCGUGGGUGAAGAAGGCCUGCGGGUUGUAAAGCCCUUUCGGUGGGGAAGAAAAGUCUCGACCUAAUACGUCGGGACCUUGACGUAACCCACUAAAGAAGCACCGGCUAACUCUGUGCCAGCCGCCGCGGUAAG
rnacentral:rRNA from 1 species